UAACAAACAGUCCUUUUCUACUCGUAUCGAGCAUUAAUAAGACCACGAGACUUCAAUAAUGUUUACAUACAGUUUGAAGGACACUGGAAAGGCCGAUGCUCAAGCUAACCAAACUAUUGCGUAACGAGGUAAGCAUUACGGCCAAGAACCCAGAAAAAAAAGUUUUGGCAUUGGAGGAAAUUUCAAGAAUUUACUUGGACACGACACAGUCAAGCUUUGUGAGACCACGAGUCUCUCAGGCCUAAAUAAAGCGAUGGUGCCAUAACUAGUCCUCGGUACUGCGCAACCUGUAGAUUUACCCGCCUUUUCCACGCCUCACCUUGUUUCAUUCAGUAAGCAAUGGCCACAAUAAGACCUGUAUCCUAACACAGCUAACGUUACUUAUCAGCUGAUUUCAUACACACGUCUUAAAAACACAACUGGGUUGGACUAAGAUCCACGCUGAGGAGCGCAACAACUGAUGCGAUCGCUUUGGGUUGUUUAGCCACGUUUAUGCGUUAAAAUGCCUAAUAAUGCAUCGCUUUAUAUACAUUGGCAACAAUUACGCAUGCAUGCUAUCAUACUAAUGCGCUUAAAUGGACAGCAAGGCAAAUGCUUUAGUGCGCAACUGACGUUAAAAACGGUCCAGCGAGCACCUCGUCCAUAACCAACAUCGAUGUUUCUGACGGUCUACACCCGUCUCGGAUGACUUUGCAAGGAUCUCCCUCCCUGACUCCGGAGCAACCCCUCCCACCAACAGCAUGCUCUGCACCCUUCACCUGAAAGCUCUGCAGGCUUUACUAGCAGUAAACCAGGUCACACGCUGCUGUAAACUUUGGAGCUGAGAUAAGUGAGAUGUGGUGCAAAUGAAUUGUAGUUGUCAUGUUUACCUGUCUGGGAGUAAAGUCGGUGCCACAAUACAGGUCAACCUGCUUUCCAGGAAUCACAGGCGAAAUUCUCUGAACCCCAGGAAGGUUGAUGUUCCACUCUUUUUUGUUUUUUGGGAAAAACUUGAAUACUUUACUACAGGUUUUAUAAUAAAAAAAUUAGUGUAACUAAUGAACUAAGAGUGGGUGUGUCUUCAUAUCUUUUAGAUAAUCAUUCAUAAAUUGUCACCUGACUAGUAUGAGCUGAAUAAUAUUGUCCAUUUGUAUGUCAUGUUUUUGGACAGAUCAUAAUUUGAGAGACAUAUUUGUGCGAGUUGAAAUCCCAAAAUUAAGCAUGGUAACUGCUUUAUAACAGCAAUCAGCAAAUGUGCUCUUAUUUUAGAACUGAUGUUCCUCAGGCUAUGACUUCACUUUGUGUUACAGAAAACUCGCCAUGCUUCCUUUCUUUGUUGUCUCAGCUGUUUUGAAUUAUUUUGAGAAAUACAAUAAACCAUUGAAACUUC